CCUACGGGUGGCAGCAGUGGGGAAUAUUGCGCAAUGGGCGAAAGCCUGACGCAGCGACGCCGCGUGAGGGAUGAAGGUCUUCGGAUCGUAAACCUCUGUCAGCAGGGAAGAACGGUCACUGUGCUAAUCAGCAGUGAAUUGACGGUACCUGCAAAGGAAGCACCGGCUAACUCCGUGCCAGCAGCCGCGGUAAUACGGAGGGUGCGAGCGUGAAUCGGAAUUACUGGGCGUAAAGCGCUCGUAGGAGGUAUGUCACGUCAAGGGUGAAAUCCCCGCGCUCAACGUGGGAACUGCCGUUGAAACUGGAAAACUGGAAUGUGUGAGAGGAUAGUGGAAUUCCUGGUGUAGGAGUGAAAUCCGUAGAUAUCUGGAGGAACAUCAGUGGCGAAGGCGACUAUCUGGCACAUAACUGACGCUGAGGAGCGAAAGCGUGGGUAGCAAACAGGAUUAGAUACCCCGGUAGUC
rnacentral:rRNA from 1 species